rnacentral:misc_RNA from 1 species
GUGCAACGUAGCUAUGUCGCGUCUUAGAUAGUUUACUCUUACGUAAUGUGUUUCUCAAUGUGAUACGGUAUGGUUUUAAAUGGAUCGAUCAGAGGGAUUUUGGUCGAUUGAGAAGAAUGUUCGUAUAGGAAUAGUUGUCACUAUACGUUUUUGGUAUAUCGAAAGAUUAGUGAAGUUCGUUGCUUAUUGUUUCAUACGUAUACAUUUUCAUAGCAAUCUUCAUGAUUAUUCGUUAUCCUCUGUUAAUUAAUGUUUUACAUGCAUAAG